CGGGGAAUAUUGACAAUGGGCGCAAGCCCGAUGCAGCCAUGCCGCGUGUGUGAAGAAGGCCUCCGGGUUGUAAAGCACUUUCAGCGGGGAGGAAGGCGAUAAGGUUAAUAACCUUGUCGAUUGACGUUACCCGCAGCAGAAGCACCGGCAAACUCCGUGCCAGCAGCCGCGGUAAUACGGAGGGUGCAAGCGUUAAUCGGAAUUACUGGGCGUAAAGCGCACGCAGGCGGUCUGUCAAGUCGGAUGUGAAAUCCCCGGGCUCAACCUGGGAACUGCAUUCGAAACUGGCAGGCUAGAGUCUUGUAGAGGGGGGUAGAAUUCCAGGUGUAGCGGUGGAAUGCGUAGAGAUCUGGGGGAAUACCGAUGGCGAAGGCGGCCCCCUGGACAAAGACUGACGCUCAGGUGCGAAAGCGUGGGGAGCAAACAGG
rnacentral:rRNA from 1 species